rnacentral:sRNA from 1 species
UAAACAGAACAACAAUGGCGAGAGGGA